GCAGCAGCCGCGGGAACACGUAGGGUGCAAGCGUUAAUCGGAAUUACUGGGCGUAAAGCGUGCGCAGGCGGUUAUAUAAGACAGAUGUGAAAUCCCCGGGCUCAACCUGGGAACUGCAUUUGUGACUGUAUAGCUAGAGUACGGCAGAGGGGGAUGGAAUUCCGCGUGUAGCAGUGAAAUGCGUAGAUAUGCGGAGGAACACCGAUGGCGAAGGCAAUCCCCUGGGCCUGUACUGACGCUCAUGCACGAAAGCGUGGGGAGCAAACAGGAUUAGAUACCCCUGUAGUCCCUGUCUCUUAUAC
rnacentral:rRNA from 1 species